CCUACGGGAGGCAGCAGUGGGGAAUAUUGCACAAUGGGCGAAAGCCUGAUGCAGCGACGCCGCGUGAGGGAUGACGGCCUUCGGGUUGUAAACCUCUUUCAGCAGGGAAGAAGCGAAAGUGACGGUACCUGCAGAAGAAGCGCCGGCUAACUACGUGCCAGCAGCCGCGGUAAUACGUAGGGCGCAAGCGUUGUCCGGAAUUAUUGGGCGUAAAGAGCUCGUAGGCGGCUUGUCACGUCGGGUGUGAAAGCCCGGGGCUUAACCCCGGGUCUGCAUUCGAUACGGGCUAGCUAGAGUGUGGUAGGGGAGAUCGGAAUUCCUGGUGUAGCGGUGAAAUGCGCAGAUAUCAGGAGGAACACCGGUGGCGAAGGCGGAUCUCUGGGCCAUUACUGACGCUGAGGAGCGAAAGCGUGGGGAGCGAACAGGAUUAGAUACCCUGGUAGUCCACGCCGUAAACGGUGGGAACUAGGUGUUGGCGACAUUCCACGUCGUCGGUGCCGCAGCUAACGCAUUAAGUUCCCCGCCUGGGGAGUACGGCCGCAAGGCUAAAACUUAAAGAGUAUGACGNGNGAGNGCGACGAGCACGAGGAGGUAG
rnacentral:rRNA from 1 species